AUUGAACGCUGGCGGCAGGCCUAACACAUGCACGUCGAACGAGUGGCGGAAGGGUGAGUAAUGUCUGGGAAACUGCCCGACGGAGGGGGAUAACUACUGGUAACGGUAGCUAAUAGCGCAUACCAUGGGUUGUGCCCGGAGGGGAUUAGCUAGUAGGUGGGGUAACGGCUCACCUAGGCGAAGCUCCGUAGCUGUUCUGAGAGGAUGACCAGCCACACUGGAACUGAGACACGGUCCAGACUCCUACGUGAGGCAGCAGUGGGGAAGAUUGCACAAUGGGCGCAAGCCUGAUGCAGCCAUGCCGCGUGUAUGAAGAAGGCCUUCGGGUUGUAAAGUACUUUCAGCGAGGAGGCGUUACUCGCAGAAGAAGCACCGGCUAACUCCGUGCCAGCAGCCGCGGUAAUAC
rnacentral:rRNA from 1 species